AAAAAGGGUUUUGCUGCACUAGUAGUUGCCAAGAUGUCCACUUUCAUGGGUGUAUUUUUUAAUAUAGUUUUAUUGUUGUUUUUUUUCAGUGGCACAGGAACGAGAAAUUAAACGGAUGGAACGAUUACAGGAUAUAUGUGCAAACAAAUGCAUCCGUGCAAUAAAAACAUAGUAUUUAUACCAAAUGUCAAUAUAGUCGUUCGUACGAAGAUAACCUCAGUCGUUCUAUUUUCAUUAAAUAUGAACAAGUGUGAGUCGAACAUUUUGGUAUUACGCACCUUGUUUCAACAAUAUAAGUUCCAAAUAUGAGUCAAAAGUAAAAUUCUAAAUUUAUGUAUUCAUUCAAUUGUAUCAGUUUAAUUCAUUGUACAAAUGACAUUAAGAUUUGCAGUCUGCUUCUCUAAAUAUAAUAAACAAACUGAG
rnacentral:lncRNA from 1 species